rnacentral:lncRNA from 1 species
GUUACAAAAUUAUUACGUAAAAUACAAACUUUUGCAAUUAUAUUUUCUGCCAAUCACUGCAAUGCAAAGCAGAAUUUCUGCUUAUCACCGUAAUUUCGGACAUAUACAUCUCAUUUUGGAGUAAGAUAUAUAUUUUUGAUAAAAAACAAAUAUAAAUAGUAAAAAAUACACAUAACAUUAGUUUUUCUGCCCCCCCCCCCCACAAAUUAGCAUACAAUAGAAAUUUAACAAACCCAAAAUAAGAAGAUAUGAUCAUAAUUAUCAAUACUAAGCAACUCACAUAACAAAAAUAAAAAUAAAAAAAAUUCAAGUUUCAACACGUAUCGAAUGAGAUCCGAUAAACUAAACCGACUUAAUAUUAUGUGCUCCCAACCGAAGUUGAACUCCAACUGAGUGGAAAAUUUGAACCUGACUAUCAACUGGCAUAUCAAUUAUAAUUUUGGAGAUUACAAUUCAAUAUCAAACUACCUCACUGCAAUGAGGAGGACAACCACUUCCAUCUCUAUCUCCGCC